rnacentral:misc_RNA from 1 species
GAUGAAGAACGUAGCGAAACGCGAUAGGUAAUGUGAAUUGCAGAAUUCAGUGAAUCAUCGAAUCUUUGAACGCACAUUGCGCCCGCCAGUAUUCUGGCGGGCAUGCCUGUUCGAGCGUCAUUUCAACCAUCAAGCCCCAGGCUUGUGUUGGGGACCUGCGGCUGCCGCAGGCCCUGAAAACCAGUGGCGGGCUCGCUGUCACACCGGGCGUAGUAGAUUUUAUCUCGCUCAGGGCGUGCUGCGGGUUCCGGCCGUUAAAAAGCCUUUUUUACCCAAGGUUGACCUCGGAUCAGGUAGGAAGACCCGCUGAACUUAAGCAUAUCAAUAAGCGGAGGA